GAUUGGUAUGACGUUGGCUUCGUAUUCGUCGUCGUCGUCCGAAGACACAUUGGUUUUCGCACUCUAACUUUAGUUUAAGUGAAUGGAUCUCUAUGAAAUUUUACCAUAAGGUUCAAUACCACAAAAGGAAGGUUGUGAUUGAUUUUGGUUUAUGGUACAAACAGUUAAGGAAUUAGAGGCCAAAAAGGGGCCAAAAAUAUGCAUUUUUGUAACUUCCAGACAUAACUUGUGUUUUAGUGUAUGGAUCUCUCUGACAUUGUACCACAAGGUUCCAUAUCAUAAAGGGAAUGCUGGGAUUGAUUUUGGGAGUAAUUGCCUCAAAAUUUUAGGAAUAAGGGGCCAAAAAGGGGCCAAAAAACAAGCAUUUUUCUAGUUUCAGGACAAUAACUUGUGUGUAAGUGUCUGGAUCUUUAUGAAAUUGUACUACAAGGUUCCAUAUCACAAAGGGAAGGCAGGGAUUGAUUUUGGGGGUAAUUGCCUCAUAAUUUUAGGAAUUAGGGGCCAAAAAGGGGCAAAAAACAAGCAUUUUUCUAUUUUCAUGACAAUAACUUGUGUGUAAGUGUAUGGAUCUUUUUGAAAUUGUACUACAAGGUUUCAUAUCACAAAGGGAAAGCUAGAAUUGAGUUUGGGGGUAAUUGCCCAAAACAUUUAGGAAUAAGGGCCAAAAAGGGGCCAAAAAUAAGCAUUUUCUAGUUUCCAGACAAUAACUUGUGUUCAAGUGUAUGGAUCUCUCUGAAAUUGUACUGCAAGGUACCAUAUCACAAAGGGAAGGCUGGGAUUGAUUUUGGGGGUAAUUGCCUCAAAAUUUUAGGAAUAAGGGGCCAAAAAGGGGCAAAAAAACAAGCAUUUUUCUAGUUUCCAGACAAUAACUUGUGUGUAAGUGUAUGGAUCUUUAUGAAAUUGUACUACAAGGUUCCAUAUCACAAAGGGAAGGCUGGGAUUGAUUUUGGGGGUAAUUGCCUCAAAAUUUUAGGAAUUAGGGGCCAAAAAAGGGGCAAAAAACAAGCAUUUUUCUAUUUUCAUGACAAUAACUUGUGUGUAAGUGUAUGGAUCUUUUUGAAAUUGUACUACAAGGUUUCAUAUCACAAAGGGAAAGCUGGAAUUGAGUUUGGGGGUAAUUGCCCAAAACAUUUAGGAAUAAGGGGCCAAAAAGGGGCCAAAAAUAAGCAUUUUCUAGUUUCCAGACAAUAACUUGUGUUCAAGUGCAUGGAUCUCUCUGAAAUUGUACUGCAAGGUACCAUAUCACAAAGGGAAGGCUGGGAUUGAUUUUAGGGGUAAUUGCCUCAAAAUUUAAGGAAAAAGGGGCCAAAAAGGGGCAAAAAAACAAGCAUUUUUCUAGUUACCAGACAAUAACUUGUGUGUAAGUGUAUGGAUCUUUAUGAAAUUGUACUACAAGGUUCCAUAUCACAAAGGGAAGACUGGGAUUGAUUUUGGGGGUAAUUGCCUCAUAAUUUUAGGAAUUAGGGGCCAAAAAGGGGCAAAAAACAAGCAUUUUUCUAUUUUCAUGACAAUAACUUGUGUGUAAGUGUAUGGAUCUUUUUGAAAUUGUACUACAAGGUUUCAUAUCACAAAGGGAAAGCUAGAAUUGAGUUUGGGGGUAAUUGCCCAAAACAUUUAGGAAUAAGGGGCCAAAAAGGGGCCAAAAAUAAGCAUUUUCUAGUUUCCAGACAAUAACUUGUGUCUCUCUGAAAUUGUACUGCAAGGUACCAUAUCACAAAGGGAAGGCUGGGAUUGAUUUUGGGGGUAAUUGCCUCAAAAUUUUAGGAAUAAGGGGCCAAAAAGGGGCAAAAAAAUAAGCAUUUUUCUAGUUUCCAGACAAUAACUUGUGUGUAAGUGUAUGGAUCUUUAUGAAAUUGUACUACAAGGUUCCAUGUCACAAAGGGAAAGCUGGGUUUGAGUUUUGGGGUAAUUGCCUUAUACAGUUAAGAAUUUGGGGCCAAAAAGGGGCCAACAAACAAGCAUUUUUCUAGUUUCCAGACAAUAACUUGUGUUUAAGUGUAUGGAUCUCUCUGAAAUUGUACUGCAAGGUUCAAUACCACAAAAGGAAGGUUGGGAUUGAUUUUGGGGUUUAUGGUACCAACAGUUAAGGAAUUAGAGGCCAAAAAGGGGCCAAAAAUAUGCAUUUUUGUAACUUCCAGACAUAACUUGUGUUUUAGUGUAUGUAUCUCUCUGACAUUGUACCACAAGGUUCCAUAUCAAAAAGGGAAGGCUGGGAUUGAUUUUGGGGGUAAUUGCCUCAAAAUUUUAGGAAUUAGAGGCCAAAAAAGGGGCAAAAAACAAGCAUUUUUCUAUUUUCAUGACAAUAACUUGUGUGUAAGUGUAUGGAUCUUUUUGAAAUUGUACUACAAGGUUUCAUAUCACAAAGGGAAAGCUGGAAUUGAGUUUGGGGGUAAUUGCCCAAAACGUUUAGGAAAAAGGGGCCAAAAAGGGGCCAAAAAUAAGCAUUUUCUAGUUUCCAGACAAUAACUUGUGUUCAAGUGUAUGGAUCUCUCUGAAAUUGUACUGCAAGGUUCCAUAUCACAAAGGGAAGGCUGGGAUUGAUUUUGGGGGUAAUUGCCUCAAAAUUUUAGGAAUUAGGGGCCAAAAAAGGGGCAAAAAACAAGCAUUUUUCUAUUUUCAUGACAAUAACUUGUGUGUAAGUGUAUGGAUCUUUUUGAAAUUAUACUACAAGGUUUCAUAUCACAAAAGGAAAGCUGGAAUUGAGUUUGGGGGUAAUUGCCCAAAACGUUUAGGAAUAAGGGGCCAAAAAUAAGCAUUUUCUAGUUUCCAGACAAUAACUUGUGUUCAAGUGUAUGGAUCUCUCUGAAAUUGUACUGCAAGGUACCAUAUCACAAAGGGAAGGCUGGGAUUGAUUUUGGGGGUAAUUGCCUCAAAAUUUUAGGAAUAAGGGGCCAAAAAGGGGCAAAAAAACAAGCAUUUUUCUAGUUUCCAGACAAUAACUUGUGUGUAAGUGUAUGGAUCUUUAUGAAAUUGUACUACAAGGUUCCAUGUCACAAAGGGAAAGCUGGGUUUGAGUUUGGGGGUAAUUGCCUUAUACAGUUAGGAAUUUGGGGCCAAAAAGGGGCCAACAAACAAGCAUUUUUUUAGUUUCCAGACAAUAACUUGUGUUUAAGUGUAUGGAUCUCUCUGAAAUUUUACCAUAAGGUUCAAUACCACAAAUGGAAGGUUGGGAUUGAUUUUGGGGUUUAUGGUACCAACAGUUAAGGAAUUAGAGGCCAAAAAGGGGCCAAAAAUAUGCAUUUUUGUAACUUCCAGACAUAACUUGUGUUUUAGUGUAUGUAUCUCUCUGACAUUGUACCACAAGGUUCCAUAUCACAAAGGGAAGGCUGGGAUUGAUUUUGGGGGUAAUUGCCUCAAAAUUUUAGGAACUAGGGGCAAAAAACAAGCAUUUUUCUAUUUUCAUGACAAUAACUUGUGUGUAAGUGUAUGGAUCUUUUUGAAAUUGUACUACAAGGUUUCAUAUCACAAAGGGAAAGCUGGAAUUGAGUUUGGGGGUAAUUGCCCAAAACGUUUAGGAAUAAGGGGCCAAAAAGGGGCCAAAAAUAAGCAUUUUCUAGUUUCCAGACAAUAACUUGUGUUCAAGUGUAUGGAUCUCUCUGAAAUUGUACUGCAAGGUACCAUACCACAAAGGGAAGGCUGUGAUUGAUUUUGGGGGUAAUUGCCUCAAAAUUUAGGAAUUAGGGGCAAAAAAGGGGCAAAAAACAAGCAUUUUUCUAAUAUCAGGACAAUAACUUGUGUGUAAGUGUAUGGAUCUUUAUGAAAUUGUACUACAAGGUUCCAUAUUACAAAGGGAAAGCUGGGUUUGAGUUUGGGGGUAAUUACCCUAAACGUUUAGGAAUUUGGGGCCAAAAAAGGGCCUUAAAACAAGCAUUUUUCUAGUUUCCAGACAAUAACUUGUGUUCAAGUGUAUGGAUCUCUCUGAAAUUGUACUGCAAGGUACCAUACCACAAAGGGAAGGCUGGGAUUGAGUUUGCGGGUGAUGAAUCAUAAGGGGGUUCAAAAAAUUUGGGAGAGGGAUUUUUUUUUCCUUUUUUUCCUUUUUUUUUCUUUAAAAUUUUCCAUUUUAAAUUGGUUAUUUCUGAUUUAUAUAUAAAAGCAAAUAAUAAUGAUAUGGUUUGAAUAGGUAAAUUAAAAUUUUUUAAGUUCUUAGACCACAUUCAUUCUGUGUCAGAAACCUAUGCUGUGUCAAAUAUUUAAUCACAAUCCAAAUUCAGUGCUGUAUCAAGCUUGAAUGUUGUGUACAUACUUGCCCUAACUGUUCAGGGUUCGACCUCUGCGGUCGUAUCAAGCUGCGCCUAGCGGAGCAUUUUA